rnacentral:rRNA from 1 species
UCUUCCCUCUGGCGGCGUGCUUAACACAUGCAAGUCGAACGGUGAAGGCGGAGCUUGCUCUGCUGGAUCAGUGGCGAACGGGUGAGUAACACGUGAGCAAUCUGCCCCUGACUCUGGGAUAAGCGCUGGAAACGGCGUCUAAUACUGGAUACGAGCUGCGAAGGCAUCUUCAGCAGCUGGAAAGAAUUUCGGUCAGGGAUGAGCUCGCGGCCUAUCAGCUUGUUGGUGAGGUAGUGGCUCACCAAGGCGUCGACGGGUAGCCGGCCUGAGAGGGUGACCGGCCACACUGGGACUGAGACACGGCCCAGACUCCUACGGGAGGCAGCAGUGGGGAAUAUUGCACAAUGGGCGAAAGCCUGAUGCAGCAACGCCGCGUGAGGGACGACGGCCUUCGGGUUGUAAACCUCUUUUAGCAGGGAAGAAGCGAAAGUGACGGUACCUGCAGAAAAAGCGCCGGCUAACUACGUG